rnacentral:lncRNA from 1 species
UUAACUACUUAUUCCCCUUGAUCAUAUACUACACAAGAAAAAGUUUUGCAUCCCCAUUUAGAAUAAGAGUUUCUCUCUUCCCAUAUGGACGAUGGCUAAAAAUAGAGAAUACUCCCUCCGUCCCAAAAUAAGGCAAACUUUUGACCAUCCAUGUCUAGUGUUUGACUAUCCGUCUUAUUUGAUAUAUUUUAAGAAAUUAAAAAAAUAGUCACACAUAAAUUACUAUUUAUAAUUUAUCAUCUAAUAGAGACAAAAGUAUUAGUC